CCCAGGUCUUUAUGGUGCAGCCAACUACAGCAGAUCAAGAAUAAUUCACUCACAGGGCAAAAACACCUAACCUAGAAACCCCAUGACGCAAACCCUUCCACCACCACCACCAGCUUCCCCCAACACACGCACACAAUUUCCUAAAGAUUUCACCACACCGCACUGUUUGCAUGAAAUCGAGCUUUUUUUUCUCUCUAUGUAAUUUUUAUUAUCUCUUUAAAACGAUUAUAAUACAGUCUACCUCCUCUGUUAUACCCACUUCAGCAUACGGAUUUUUCCUAAUUUCUUGUAAUCUUUGAUACGCAUUUACAUUUUUCCAGAACCCUAUUUGCGUUUUUGGUGAAGUAACGUAUUUUGUGAAUGGUUUUCUGGGAUUUUAGAUUAGCAUUCGAUUGAUUUUAUUGGUGUAGGUGGUUCAAUGUAUUUACAUGAACUACUUUUUCUGACUGUUAAUGCUUUUUAGUUGGCGUCAUUUUGUUAAAUGGCUCUCGAAAAUUUUGCUGAAAUGUUGAUUUUGGUUGGUGGAUAUGUUUGAAAUAUUGAGGGUAGUAUUGGAUCAUGCUCUUUCUGCGCCUGGUUCGCAGAUUUGGUACAGUGCCCCAUAUUUCUGUUGCAGCUGCUGAUGUGCCGUCUAUUAACAAUGUUGGUCCUGCUAGGAAUAUUGGGGAGUCAAAUAAUAUGCAAAAACCUAUCAAAAUAGAUGAACCCGCACUUGUUAAGUUGAAAAAUGAAAGGGACCCUGAAAAGUUGUUUAAUUUGUUUAAGGCCAAUGCCCACAAUAAGGUUCUUGUUGAAAAUCGAUUUGCAUUCGAGGAUACAAUUUCUAGGUUAGCUGGUGCUGGUCGGUUUGAUUACAUUGAGAAUUUGCUUGACCAUCAGAAAACUUUGCCGCAGGGCCGGCGAGAAGGAUUCAUAAUUCGAAUUAUAGUGUUGUAUGGGAGGGCUGGAAUGUUUAAACACGCUGUUAAUACAUUUUAUGAUAUGCAUCUGUAUGAUUGUAAGAGGACAGUUAAGUCGUUUAAUGCUACGUUAAAGGUGUUGACUCAAUCCCGUGAUUUGGAGGCGAUUGAAUCUUUUCUAAGAGAUGUGCCGUUCAACUUUGGCAUCGAGCUAGAUGUGUUUUCUAUUAAUAUUGUUAUCAAAGCAUUUUGUGAAAUGGGUUUAUUGGAUAAAGCUUAUUUGGUCAUGGUUGAGAUGGAAAAGAUGGGAAUAAGUCCGGAUGUGAUUACAUACACAACACUAAUAGCGGCCUUUUACAAGGCAAACCGAUGGGAGAUUGCCAAUGGAUUAUGGAACCUUAUGAUACUAAAGGGUUGUCUUCCUAACGUGGCAACCUUCAAUGCCAGAAUUCAAUUCUUAGUGAAUAAAGGGCGAGCUUGGGAUGCUAACAAGUUAUUGGGUUUGAUGCAUUGCUAUGGGAUACGUCCAGAUGAGAUAACAUAUAAUUUGGUGAUUAAAGGCUUUAGCUGUGCUGGAUACCUUGAAAUGGUAACGAGAGUUUUUAAUGCUUUUUGCCAUGAAGGAUACAAGCCCAAUCAAAAAAUUUAUCAGACCUUGAUCCACUAUCUUUGUCGAGCAGGUAAUUUUGAUUUGGCAUACACUUUUUGUAAAGACAGUAUGCAAAAGAAUUGGUAUCCUAGUGUGGAUAGCAUCUGUAAGCUGCUUGAAGGUCUGAGGAAGGACAAAAAACUUGACAAACUUGAAAAGGCCAAAUAUAUUUUUCUCCUGGCUCAGAAAAGGGUACCUCCUUUUUCUAGUGAUCAAAUAAGUGCCAUGAAAACUACAUUGUCGAGGAGUUGAAAUAGACAUUGGAUGGUGAACUGUUGCAUGAAACGAUAUGGAGGCUAAGCAGCAGGUAACUUUCCAUAUAAAUCAUCUAUCAUUGAAUGAAGUUGAUGGGAUAUGCUCUUCUGAGAGAUGACAUUUAGGUGAAGACAUCGAAUUUUCUUCAAUUAAGUUGGGGUACUGCCUUAAUCAGAUGCAUGGUGAAAUGGAAGUGCUAAGAUGAGGAACAACCUAAGUUUUUGUAAGUUACUUAAGGAUAUAAUUAUUUCUCCUCUUUUUCGUAGUGUCAUUGUUGAUGUACAUAGAUCUUUGUGUGCAAGUUUAUGUCCGUCAAUCAAUGUUCUCUUUGCUUUGCAUCUUCAUUCCUACCUGUACACUUUGUAGUACUAAUGCUUCAUUUAGUGCAGUCACAAACAUCAAAUCUUUUAGUGCAGUCACCAACAUCAAAUCUUUGUAAACUAUAAACCAUUUUUGAGACUUGUGCAUGUUAUUUUCCUUGUAAUCAGAUUUGUGAUGAAUGGAAUAUCUGUGAAGCAGCAAAAGUACUCUUAUUGCGGCCCCGUAGAUGGCAUUUUGAAAACUUCGGCCCACUAAUGGUUAGUUUUGCUAUCCCUUGGCUAUACAUGCCUAUUUACUUGUGGUUAUCAAACAACUAUUAGUACUUCAGUCAUAUUUGAUACAUGUAGACUAAGCUAUACAUAGGAAAUACAUGGAGUGGAUUUUGAGAGUGACAUCAGGGUACUUAGAGAUGGCUAAUAAGUAAUCUUUAUAAUUUAUUGCGUGCGUACAUAUAUGCUCAAAACACAACAUAUAGAGGGUGUUUAGUGGGGAUUAAAAUUAGAUUUUUAGUAGAUUAUGAUACAAGUUUUUGAAAUGUGUGAUUGAAAAGUUGUGGGACCCAUGAAAUAUGGUAAAUGUUGAUUGUUUGACUUUAACUUAGAUUAAAAUCAGAUUUUAAUUCAAACCAAACAGACUGAUACUCUUACACUCACUAAAAAUUGGUUCUGCGGAAUUAGAUAUGAUGACUGACAAAUUAAUUAUUUUAUGUUGGAUCCAAAGAAUUGGAAAAAUCCAAUACUCCCAAUUUCCUUAAUGUCUGGAAAAUAAUUUAUAUCUUUGUACCAAAUCAAUUCACUGAUCUCCCUUGUGGGAUAGGUUCAAAUUCUCACUUAGAAUUAUCAUUAUAAGGUGGCAAAGAGUGUGCACCUUUCUCAUGAAAAAUAAGAAUAAUAAAAAUUCAAGCGACAUUACACCUGUGGAUGCAAAGGAGGAGGGAUCCCCCCCCCCCCCCCCCCCGGGGACAUUCUCACAGGUACCUUGAUGCAUAGAGCAUCUUCAAUGCAUCCUCCCUAGCGAACACAGGCAUUUGUCCAUUUGUUUGCCACUAAGAGAUCAUUCAAACUUGCCCUAGUUUGGUUUAGACUUAAUUCAGAUUUAAGACUAAAAUGCUCACUACCUAGUGCCCUAGCCCACUCAUUAUAAAGGUUGAAGAAACAAUACUAACUGAUGAUAACUAGAAAUGGAGUUAGUAAAAUGAGAUACUAUUUUGUAAUUCCCAGAGUUAUGUUAGUUGUUUCUUUGUCCCAAAUUGGAUGUCUUUAUAUCCUCGUCAUAGUAUCCAAAUAAAAUUUGUACUUGUUUGAAAAAAGCUUUACUACCUAUCUACAUAUAUAAUUUCCAUUUGUGGUUAACUGAUUUAUAUAUACCUAAAUAAUAGGCAUAUGGUUCCUCAUUGCAUCUCAUGUCACAUUCUCUUGGUCAAAAAUAUAAAAGCAUAAAAUGUUUACAUGUUUUCAACCUUACAUAUAAUACCUUGCCAAAAUCAAAUUAAGACAUUUAGUUUACAAGAAAAAGAAUUCUCUUACAUGGUGCCUUUGGAAUGAGUAUAAUUUGAAGAUUGUGAGAGAUUAAAAAUUUGUUAUAUAUGAAUUAAUAUAUGAUUUGAACCUGUUGAAAGUGGUAAACAUUUGCAUGCUUCUUAUUUUAAUGAAAAUCAACGGGGAAAAUGGUUGAACUAUGUUUUUGUACGUCUUUUUGACACGAGAGCUGAAUUUAAAGUCAGCAUUUUUGGUACUCUUAUGUUGCAUUUGUACGUUUGUGGAAGCUAUAAUCUACUCUUUACAUGUCAGUAUGUCCAUAUUGUCAUCAACCUGUGGUGGAACGUGGUUCAAAGUCACCAUAUUUCCAUUUCAGUAAUAUGGAAAAUAUGCUCCGUUAAUUUUGAAGCUAUAAGAUUUUCAACAGUGGGAUUUGGGUAAAACAUUUUUAGAUCGGCUGCUGGAGGGAUACACGAUAGCAGGUUUUCGAUGAUGAACCGAAUUAUAUUGAAAGUUUCUUUGGGAUGGGACUUCCAUACUAUCUGAAAAUGUACAUAUUAUAUCGAAAAUAGGUUAGUAAAAUUCAAGAAGAAUAAACAAAAGUACUAUCUCCAUUUCUAUUAAAAUGAUAUGCUGCAACAACUUUAAAUAGAAAUUUUCUUUGAUUAUCUGUCAAGCUAAUAUAUUUUUCCAUUUCUCAUGCAGGGCAUAGAUUCUUAUAUUUUUCCUUUUUAUGACUUACUAAAAGGUCGAAGGGCAUCGAGCAUAUAUCGGUCAUAUCAUUGGUGGCUAGAGAUAAUGACGUGAGAUCGGUGUUUUGUAUGGUUUAUAUAGCGGGUGAUUAUGGAGCAACGAGAGAAUUCCAGAUGUGUAGAAAUAUUUUAGGGAUCUAAAUCUGAAAGUUGGUAAUUUAUCAAGUGCUAGAAAUGUUAUUUUCUUUGUAUUUUUUUCUUAGAAGGCUCGAUAACCAGUAUUGUUCUGAUUGCAUGCCUAUCAUAGUUGAGAAGAUUUGACGCCUGAAUGAGAAUUCUUGAAGUGUAAAAUGCAAUAAAAAUGAAAAAAUUAGAUUAUAUUCAUGCAAAAGAAAUGAAUGUAAUUGUUUCAGG
rnacentral:lncRNA from 1 species